rfam:Pterocles gutturalis contig91464, whole genome shotgun sequence.
AGGUUUAUGAUGUUAAACCAGUUGCCUACAGCUGAUGAGUGCCAGGAAGAGCGAAACCAGUUCUGUUCUGUUUCAACAGUUAUGAAAAGUAAGGACUGGUCCUGUAGUACUGUCCAGCAUCAAAAU